GGUGAAGAACGUAGCGAAAUGCGAUAAGUAAUGCGAAUUGCAGAAUUCAGUGAAUCAUCGAAUCUUUGAACGCACAUUGCGCCCGCUAGUAUUCUGGCGGGCAUGCCUGUCUGAGCGUCAUUUCAACCCUCGCCCCCGGCUUUUGCUGGGAGCGGUGUUGGGGAUCGGCCGCCCGUCACUGGGAGGCCGGCCCCGAAAUAGAGUGGCGACCACGCCGUGUGCUCCUCUGCGUAGUAGUAAAUCACCUCGCAGGCGGACAGCGGUGCGGCCUGCCGUAAAACCCCCAACUCUUUCUGGUUGACCUCAGAUCAGGUAGGAAUACCCGCUGAACUUAAGCAUAUCAAUAAGCGGAGGA
rnacentral:misc_RNA from 1 species